rnacentral:lncRNA from 1 species
AAUCUUUCCGCAGAGCAGCGAAGCUGGGUCUCCUUUCUCUGGGAACUGCAGUGGAACGGGCUAGGCAGUCCCCACCGUGAAGACCGUGGAGGAGAGCAGGCCCACAGGGAAAAGACUGGUAUUGUGUUCCUGCUGGAGCCCUACAGGCUGCUAGGAAAGUGUCCAGAGGGAAAGCUGUGGGUUGAAUGACUAGGAAAGGCUCCAGAAAGAGGCACCCCACCCCCAAAUGCCAGACAAGUACCCCACGUUUGCCGGAGCAGCCCGGCGCCACCCGAACUAGUGCCAAAGCCGCCCUCCAGAGCUUUUGCGCUGUACCUCUCUCUUCUGCCCAGUUGGCAGUGUGACCCUCCUACCAAUCACAGAACAAAAUCCGUGUUCUUUCUCCAGCCUGGAGUCAUU